rnacentral:rRNA from 1 species
UACGUAGGGGGCUAGCGUUGUUCGGAAUUACUGGGCGUAAAGCGCACGUAGGCGGACAUUUAAGUCAGGGGUGAAAUCCCGGGGCUCAACCCCGGAACUGCCUUUGAUACUGGGUGUCUUGAGUGUGGUAGAGGUGAGUGGAAUUGCGAGUGUAGAGGUGAAAUUCGUAGAUAUUCGCAGGAACACCAGUGGCGAAGGCGGCUCACUGGACCACAACUGACGCUGAGGUGCGAAAGCGUGGGGAGCGAACAGG